AUUGAACGCUGGCGGCAGGCCUAACACAUGCAAGUCGAACGAGUGGCGGACGGGUGAGUAAUGUCGGGGAAACAGCCUGAAGGAGGGGGAUAACUGCUGAAAACGGUAGCUAAUACCGCUUACCAUCAGAUGUGCCCAGAGGGGAUUAGCUUGUUGGUGGGGUACCGGAUCACCAAGUAGACGAUCCCUAGCUGGUCUGAGAGGAUGACCAGCCACACUGGAACUGAGCAACGGGCCAGAUGCCGACGGUAGGCAGCAGUGGGGAAUAUUGCGCAAUGGGCGCAAGCCUGAUGCAGCCAUGCCGCGUGUAUGAAGAGGGCCUUCGGGUUGUAAAGUACUUUCAGCGGGGAGGCGUUACCCGCAGAAGAAGCACCGGCUAACUCCGUGCCAGCAGCCGCGGUAAUUC
rnacentral:rRNA from 1 species